rnacentral:lncRNA from 7 species
UUAUUUUUUAGGUGGAACGCUCUUAUUGCUUCACCUGUGCAGCUGCCACCAAAGGUGAGUACCAACUCACUCCUCUGGGCACAGUCACUUCUGCAGACCUGCAAGUUUUGACAUUCAUGGACAUGAAGGAUGGAAACAGGAUUGUAGAAUUGCUCAGACCUUGUAGAUCAUCAAGUCCAACCACAAACAUUUUUAGAGGACGAUUUGAAUCUCAACCAAAAUCCUGAGCACCGCUGCACUGGAUGGGCUCUUGAAGCAGCAGGAGACUCCACACCAUCCCAAUACGCUCCUGGUUUCAGGAAAUUCCCUGCAAUCAGGGAGGGAUUUCACGGGGACAAAGGAACGAGUCAUGCCAGAUUCAAGCACCUAUGGCUGGAAGUCAGAAAAGGAGAUUAAAGCAGAGUAGUUGCUACACACCAGCUGCUCAGUGGUCUGCAAAGAACUGCUCCUCUGAGCAGCACGGCUACUUGCCUGUGUCCGAUGGCUUUCUGGAUCCUGGAACAUGUUGUGCUCACAGUAUGAAAAGGAAAAAAUUAUCUGUAUUAGUCAUAGGUAGCUGAGUGCCAUCUGUUACCCAGGCUGAAAGUGAACAUUCACCUCAAACUCUUUCAUGAUUACUGUUUGCCUUCUGGAGGAGGUGCUACUGGGGUAAAGACAUGCUACGGAAAUAGGGAGUUUUGUCAUCUCCUUUUGGUAAGCUCUAUUUGUUCUAAGUAUUACAGUUGCCUUUUAAUAUUUUAAUUAUGUUGACUUUGGCUUUUUAUUUGGAAAUCACUGUAUGUUUCCAAAAAAGAAACAUUAAAAAAAGCAUUUUUCUGGAAAAAAAAAAGAAAAAUCAAUGUCCAAAGCAAGAACUGCUUGAUACCUGCUUUCUUUGUUCUUAGGCUUAUGCAAGUCGUACCUAAAAGUUAUAGGCCUGCAGAAUCUGGCCAUUAUGCCCCAAAUACUCUGACUAUAGUGUAGCAAAGAGGUUUCUUUCAUUUAUCUUUUAUUGUCUGGUAUCUUCCAAAUGCCCCCAUACACCACUAAUUGUCCAUUACUAACCUUGAGAAUGCAUACUUAACACCUUCUUACAUCUGCUGCCUAGUUCAACUAUUGUCUUUUUGUGACCCAAGUGCUAGAACUUAGCCCUCAAGUGAACUUAUUAAUAGAUAAUUCAUAAAUAUGUUUAUGACAAUAAUAAAAGCAUUAUUUUU